rnacentral:lncRNA from 1 species
UUGAUGUCACAAGUACAAAAAUUUCCAAGAUAUUAUUCGUUUCAACAUUAUACGCAUUAAAAUAAAGUCUUGAUGUUCAAGUCAGCCAAAAACAAAAGGAAAUUUCUAACUCAUUGAUCCAUUUACAUCAGAGAAACCAUAAAAUCACAACCCGAGGCCAGGCCUCUGUGCCAUAGGCUUCAUGUCCAAAGUACCAUCAUGAAUCAGUGUGAUACCUAUGUAUGCCACAGAAUACCAAGUACCCCAUAAUAAUCUGGAUUGAUAAUCAUCUGGAUUGAUUUACCUAAUAAGCAUACAUCAUAAAAGGCACGCUUCAGUCAUUGAUCAUCUCUUCCAAGGCCCAGGUCCCAUUAAAUAAAUCCAUAUAACUAAUAAUAAUAUCAGCUAUCUAAGGGUGACAACUGUAGCAUAAAUCUCUUCACAAUUGGCCUCUGUAAAACACAAAUCAUUUCCAAAAUUCCAAGUACAUCAACAACGAGGCCAAUGAAAACAAGGGAACUGCAUCUCGAACACAAAAACAUAGUUCACAAACCUCAUGAUCCUUUUAAAAUAGGGCCUCACCAAAGAAAUGAAAUACUCUUUUAUAAUCCUCCACUCUGAAUCACAAUAUAACUGUAAUAUGAGGAAUAGCAUUGAUAUUUCAACUUUGAGAUAUAAUACAAUCUAUUUUUCACACCAUAUGUUUCCCUUCUAGUAAAACCACAACUUCUCAUGCAAACUCCCUCUCCCACAACAAACAGAAGCUGCAGGUUAUAUUCCAUCACCCAAAAGCCACACAGUUUAGGCUUAUCUCCUGAUCUAACAGACACCAAAAGAUAGAGGAACCCACCACAGACCCUCCAAACUCGACUAUUUGUGUCACCAAAAGGUCAAGUUCCCGAGUCUCAGACCAAAGACCUGUUAAUUCUUGUCACAGAAAAAAACCCACCUGUGAAAUCUGGACAUAAUAAGACUGCUGCUACCCAGCAUCCCAUCUCCAAGCACCCUAAACCCUGAAUUGCACUGCUCCAAGCC